rnacentral:lncRNA from 1 species
UAGUAGAGAGCUGACUUUAGAGGGAUCAAGAAUAGCUUGCUGGAUGGAAGGAGCUUGGGGCCAGUCAUCAUCUUAAAGGCUCUGUGGCAGCUUGGACUUGAAGUAGGGUGCACCCGGAAUUGACCAAUACAAACAGUGGACUGCACUGGAUUCUUCUUGUGCCCUGUCUCAUAUCCUCUUGUCCCACCUUUUCAUAACAGCCAUUGCCAUGGGAACCAGCUGCAUCCAGGCUAGAGCAAAAGGAGGUACAAAACCAAAUGCUAAGAAGCUGCUGCAUUUACUGAGAUAACCGUCUUCAGCUAAUGUGAAGCACCUACAACUUACAUAGAGGACUGCAGUAAAUACCUUAAAAACACAACCUCAUUCCAACCACAAGAAUCCAAUCAGAGAGGUAA